rnacentral:lncRNA from 1 species
UAUUACAUCAAAUGAGUGGCUUUGUGGGCAUACUUCCAACAAUUUGUUGCUACAUCUUUGUAUUAGUUAAAAAGUACAUAUCUCCACAGUCUUUGCUUCAGAAGUUCAACAAUUGCAUUGACACACAUCUGCCUGUGACAACUUAGUUAAUCUAGGUUUAUUAUAAUUAGGAGGCGGCAUCGAUCAGAGGAAGCAUCUAAGAGGAUGCAUUGGUCACAUGAGCAAAAUAUUUUUUGUUUCCUUCAUAUCAUCCAUUCAUCUCAUGAUAAGUUUUAAUGAGACAGUUAAUCGAAGACCUGUGGGCAUCCAAGUGAGAGUGUUAUAAAAGCAAUGUGAAUGCCACUAAAAAAGUAGUAAGAAUGAAGACUUUGAAAGAGUUUAUAUUCACUUGAUGACUUUAAUUCCCAUUAAUUUAUUAAAAUAACCCAUUAGGAGUGGGCAUAAAAAUUGAGAAAGCAUGAACCGAACUGAAUCAGAUGAAAAAACCUGUAAAGAACCGGUUCGACCAAAAUCGUAAAAACUUGGACUGGAACAAACCGAAUCGGUUUAAAACGGCUCCGGUUUCUAAUUCUCAACAACCGUAGGAACCGCACUGGACCGUUUAUAUUAUUUUCUUUUUUUUAAAUCUAAUUCCUUAGCCCUUGUUUUAAUUAAAUACUAAACCCUAACUAAAAAUCUAUAUAAAAAAUUCUCAAGCUCAAAAGCCAAACCCUUGGUAAUUACCUCACCUCAUCUAUUCAACUAUAGCCGUCAUUUCACAUUCCAAUUUCCAUCCCUCUAUGUCUCCUCUCUUCUUUUCCUCAUUCAUCUUUAUGCAUUAGGUGCACUUUAAUUUCAUGUUAGGAUGUACACUUGGUCUUGAUAUGAGACUUUUUAUCUUUUGAUUUAUAUUUAUAUGUAAACUUUCAAUAUUCCGAUUACAAAUCUUAUAGAUCUAGCAGUGAGAACUCAAAUUUGCUUGAUUUGUGGUUGAUAUAUGUGUUUGGUAUUGGAAGUAGAAGAUUAUAUAUAUAUAUAUAUAUACACAUUUGGUUAGAACCGUAAACUAGCAUAAAUCGAACUAGAAUUGGCGCAAAUCAAACCGUACGGUUUUAGUAAGAAAUUUAAGCGGAACCGCACCCAAUCGAAGCGUUGAUAUUUUUCUGUUCUGGUUUCGAUUUGAGGGUGGAACCGGACCGAGCAGGAGCGUGCCCACCUCUAUAACCCAUUUGAAGAAUAAACAAAAGGAGAGAGGUGAGCAACAUACAGAGGAAAGGAAAGAAAAGAGGAAUGGAAGAAAAAAAAAGAAAUAAGAGAGAUGCAUAAGAAAAUUCCAAUGAGGCACUACAGAGAAGAGAGAAAAUAGUGAGAGUUAUUUUGUACCCCUAUUAUUUUUUAUAAUAAAAGAAAGGAAAAAUUAG